rnacentral:rRNA from 1 species
UGGCUCAGGACGAACGCUGGCGGCGUGCCUAAUACAUGCAAGUCGAGCGAGCUGAAUUCAAAGAUCCCUUCGGGGUGAUUUGUUGGACGCUAGCGGCGGAUGGGUGAGUAACACGUGGGCAAUCUGCCCUAAAGACUGGGAUACCACUUGGAAACAGGUGCUAAUACCGGAUAACAACAUGAAUCGCAUGAUUCAAGUUUGAAAGGCGGCGCAAGCUGUCACUUUAGGAUGAGCCCGCGGCGCAUUAGCUAGUUGGUGGGGUAAAGGCCUACCAAGGCAAUGAUGCGUAGCCGAGUUGAGAGACUGAUCGGCCACAUUGGGACUGAGACACGGCCCAAACUCCUACGGGAGGCAGCAGUAGGGAAUCUUCCACAAUGGACGCAAGUCUGAUGGAGCAACGCCGCGUGAGUGAAGAAGGUCUUCGGAUCGUAAAGCUCUGUUGUUGGUGAAGAAGGAUAGAGGCAGUAACUGGUCUUUAUUUGACGGUAAUCAACCAGAAAGUCACGGCUAACUACGUGCCAGCAGCCGCGGUAAUACGUAGGUGGCAAGCGUUGUCCGGAUUUAUUGGGCGUAAAGCGAGCGCAGGCG